rnacentral:rRNA from 1 species
UACGUAGGGGGCAAGCGUUGUCCGGAUUUAUUGGGCGUAAAGGGCGCGUAGGCGGCUUGGCAAGUGGAAGGUGAAAUCCCUCGGCUUAACCGAGGAACUGCCCUCCAAACUGCUUGGCUUGAGACCGGGAGAGGUGAGUGGAAUUCCCAGUGUAGCGGUGAAAUGCGUAGAUAUUGGGAGGAACACCAGUGGCGAAGGCGGCUCACUGGACCGGUACUGACGCUGAUGCGCGAAAGCGUGGGGAGCAAACGGG